rnacentral:lncRNA from 1 species
UGCUAGGAGCAGUGCAUUAUCAUUUGCAUACUGCAAUGAACUUUCUGGAAUGCUUUGGAUGCCCUGACUUAGUUCCCAAGAGAGUAAUAUAAUCUCAAAGUCCACAGAUCAUAAUUAACACAUUCUUCAGAUAAAUUGAUGAUGAUCAACUCAAAUUUCACAUUGUAAAACAAUCAAGAAUCUCACUCAUAUAUAGCUGCCUGAUCAAGAUCGGAUGCCUGUCCAUGGCGAACCACCACCACCCAGGAAAUGGCCUUGAACACUUUCUUUUGUCACCCAUAGGUGAUGUUCGUGGUUCUCGAUCCCACAGUUACCAAACCAAGAAAUACACUAUACUAGUUGAAAUGCUGAAGAGCUGGACUUACCCAAAAACAAAACCAAUAGCAGCACCAAUGCAAGUUUUCCCCUGGAGUCAACUCAACUUGUGCUCCUCCAAACUGCAAAAUAAUGAUGGAACAUCGAUCUCAGUUUUAAUAUUAAAACAUAUAAUAUAGUUGAAGUAUGCAAUAGAAUCUGUUACCUUCAGCAUCCUGCUUUCCUUCUUAGGCCUCUCAUCAGUUUUUAUAACAGGACCUCUAGAAAGCAGCUUCCCAGUUUUGAUCAUAGCUUUGGCAAUCUGCAAGAAUUGAUACGUAAUACACAUGAUGGCACCGAGGAUUAAGGUUAAUCAAUAUAAUUUCUACUAGGUAAUUAAGCUGAACAUACAGGUCAUGACUCAGAUGCAUGAUAGUCAGAGAAACUAUAACCUAUGUCAUCACUAUAAAGUAUGGAACCGUUAGCUGUAGCACAGUUCAAACUGCCACAAAUAGUUUGCAUAAAUGAUGAUUAAACGGUUUUGUUCAAACGACUCUCUCUUCUUUGAAUUCACCAUGUAUAGAUAGUGACUCAAGUGGGGCUUUUGAGUGUACUUUUAGGCAUUUCCGUGGUCUGCUCUCUGAACCUUUUUGCUAGGUAUCUGAGCUGGAAGAUAACCACCCAACUCCUCAACUCUCACCUGGCGAUUUCACCCAAAAUCAACUUGCCAAGUUAACCCUAUGGUUGGCGCUUAUAGCCAUCAACUACUGAAACCGCCACACCCAUGAUUCUCCUCUCCUAGUCUUCUCCACAAACCUAUCAGCCACCAAGUUAUUUCUGAGCCUUCUGCACAGGGGAAAGCCAAAAACUUUAAAACAGGAAAAGUUUCAAGCAUAUAGUCAUUAGGAUUAAAAGGUAUCUGCACUAAUAGAUACAUAAAUAAAAGGUUUACAUUUGUUUGUCUUCUUAUGCUGCUAAGCAGGGGCUAUACUUUAGUGGUUCUAAAAAGCAUUUAAAAAAAACAUUUUUCUAUGAGAAAAAACAAAGCAUUUUUUUGAAAUGAGUUUACUUGAGGACUAACUGCGGAUAUGCUAAGCACCCGAAGUUCAAUUUAGGGUUGCAAAUCUCAUGAAUUAUCUUGCUUCUGACUCUCGGUGAUGUAUAUGAAUAUAUUAAAUAUUUUAUUUUAAAUUUUUUGUUAUUUUAACAAUUAUUAUUAUCUAUGUAUGAAUUAUAUAUUAUCAGAUUUACAUUAAAUUUAUUAGCAGGUUAAAAGUUCUUGAUAUUUGUAGGACCAAUCCUUCCGUGUGUAUGGCGAUUACUUGCAACGUCCUCAACCUCUGUUUUUGGGUCGGGAGCAUGACAAGACCAGCCAAAAUGGAAACAGAGCACAUCUUGCCCAGUUUACUCAAGUCGAACCCCUUCAGCGAAGAACACCAAGGUAAUCAUCGCCCAAAAUAGUAUAGUAGAAUCAGAUCAAAGACGUAGUUUCACUCGACAGUAACAGUAGGUUGGCUCAUUCGUUUACAUAAAAUUUAUUUUGUUUUUCUCCAUUUACAUAUUACCAGACCAUCGGCAGCAGCAGAACCAGCAACGUCGACAACCAUAGAGCGGGGAACCGAUUUGUUGAGGGCGGAGAACCAUGAGCGAAAAUUGAUGCUGGGUUUUGCGGAGGAUUCAAUUGAAACAACGGAGCAGCAACAUGCAUGGACUUCGAUCGAGAGGCAGCAAAGGAACCAUGCACACCGAGUACACAAUCCAAGGAUCCCGGACGGCAGCAACGAUGCAAACCAGCGACCCAAAAGUGGACGCCAUGAAGAUAACGGUGAUGUCUUCGAAGAACGAGGCGAUGGAGGGAAGUUUAGGACGGAACGUGAUGGAUGCUAGAAAAGAGGAGAAGAGGCCGAGCAAAGAGAAGGCAAACUUCGUCGAAGCUUGUCCAUCUCCCAUGGCGACGUAGGACGAGGAGAGUGUCGCCACCACGCCUAUAGCGAACAUGGGCAUGCCUUGGACCAAAGCGCGCAGAGCUGAGUGGUUGCUGGCCUCCCUACCAUCUCCAUUUUUAUGUGGGCUCGUGCAGGAGAGUCGCGAUUCCGCGCCCCGGCAGCUUCCCAUCUCAAACAUGAGGAGAAACGGAGGCCGUCGCAAGUUAACAGUAGGGAAGGGCAUUUUUUUUUGUUGGUCAAAUGAAGGGUAUUGUUUUUCCCAGAGAGACUCAGAGACAUAGAGUAGGUCCUGUUCGAUUACCCCAUUUGGUAGUGUCGGCAUAGGAUCUGAUUCACAUGCUGACAGCAUCUAUACGGAGUCCCAGUUUUGUUGAGGCGGGCAUACUGUUAGUGCACCUGGCUUAUUACAUUUGGUUGGAUAGGAAUGCUGGUCUAUUUGAGGAUAAGAGGUGGGCUUCGAGGAUGGUGGUGGAUCGAGCUGUGCUACAUAUAGGGGAGAUCACCGCUGCUGCUGCUUUGUUCUCUUAUGGAAUGGCCAGAGACAUCUGGAAUACUCUUUCCGUUGUUACAGCGCCCAGGUUCGCCCUUAUUUUAUGAGUGCCUCCACCCCUUAGUCAUCUCAAGAUGAACUUUGAUUGUUAUCAGUCGGUUGACGGUGUUUCUGGAGGUGUGAGAUUUGUGAUCAGAGACUUUUUAGGCAGGUUGAUAGCCGCCGGUGGCCGUCGUAUGCCAAGGCUCACCGUUGUUGGGGCGGAGUUGCGGGCUGCUUGGGAGGGUUUAUCCUAUGUAAGGAAGGUUCUCGGCGCCGAGCGAGUGCAUCUCGAGGGGGACUCUUAUGUGGUGAUCGAUUGGAUCUGGGGUAUGGACAGGUACGGUGACGAUCACCCUCUCAUCCUAGAGAUCCGAAGAUUGGUUUAGGAGAUAAGUGAUUUUCAGGCAGCACAUGUGUACCGGAAGGCGAACAGAACAGCUAAUUGGGUCGCCUCCUACGUCGCCCGACACUUCAGGGAACUCCUUUGGACAUAUGUAGCUGAUACUCCCAUUCCUUUGUUCUCUUUACUUUCUUUUGAUUUGGCUGGAUGUACUCACGUUAGAGUUAUAUGAAUUGUCGUUUUCACAAAAAAAAAAGAGAGGGCAUUUUUAAAAGUCGACGCAUACGCAGGGUAUACAAAAGGAGGGAUCCUUUUAAAAUAAUGAUAAAAUCAUGACGUUAUCAAGACUUUCCGUAACUUACCUGCCCCUUCAGCUUGGAAUUUUUAAAGUGCAUGCCAAGACUUUAGGCCAAAAGUGAAGACCCAUCGACUGAACUUCGAUGGUAGCUGGUCGGAGGAUGGAGCAUACGGAGAAGUGAGCUUUGUGAUUAGAGAUCAUCUGGAUAAGCUGAUUGCAGCUGGACGGCGACGCAUCACCCGGUGGGCCGUCAUUGAGGUGGAGCUGCAGGCUACCUAAAAGGGCAUGUUCCAUGCGAAGAGAGUUUUUGGAGCCGACAGAGUAUUUUUAAAGGGGAAUUUCAUCACGAUAGCUGACUGGAUACGGAGAGCGGCCAUGGGUGACCGGUGGACAACCAUUGGGCAUGGAACGGCGGCAUCCAAAUUUCAGCCCAAAUACUUGCAGGAACAACACUCUCGUGUGUACAAAGGACGAUUAAUUGCAAUGUCCUGGACUUCUAUUUUUGGAUUGGGAUAUGUCUAAUUAAUCGCCGUGUGUACGGCAAUUGAUUAGACUUAAAUAGUCUAGUGUCACUUACACUUAAUUAAUCGCCGUGUGUACGGCAAAUGACGUCGUUAGACUAUGAAGUCGUUAUAGUUGGUUUUCCUGAUCGAUUAAUUUAAUUGUCGAGACAUCUAAGUCUUCACGUGCAUGUCUAAACUGAAGGGGACAUAAGUAUUCGUGAAUUUUGAAAUCAUUAUUUUAAAAGGAUCCCUCCUUUUAUAUACCCUGCUUAUCCGUCCACUUUCCCGCAAAGUUCUCCUCAUGUCUGACUGAGAUGGGAAUCUUCCGGGACCACGGCCAAAAGUGAAGGUGGCAUCCAAAUUUUGGCUAUGGAUAUAUAAAGCUUCCAAAUAUAGUCUUAUACUUUAUACCUUGUUCUAAAUAAAAACAUUAUAACUGCUAACUAAUCACUUUGACCGCCCUCUUUUACAUUAUUAAGACAAAGCGAGGAACCCCCCGAGCAUUGGGGAAGAUACAAGCGGAAUCGAAACCAAGAAGAGAAGACUCAGAUUACAAUGCAACGGNNNNNNNNNNNNNNNNNNNNNNNNNNNNNNNNNNNNNNNNNNNNNNNNNNNNNNNNNNNNNAGAGAGAGAGAGAGAUUUUUCGCGCGGGACCAAUUCCAACUCCUUCGGAGCGUGCUUGGGGAUAAACUAUCGCUCGUGAUUUUUCUUUGUCCUUUCGGUUUUGUUUGUUCGGUUCAAUCAUGAUAAGCCGGAGGCCGAGGAGAGUUUCUAGACCAUCAUUUUAUUCCUUGAUCUCUUAUUUUUCAGUUUAUUUCAUAUGUUUAUAAAAAUUUUGCUCGUAGAACCCUAACACAGAUUGUAUUCAUAUAUUAACUUCCAAUGAUCACAUAUGUUUUACUUAGUGCAUUAAUUUUGGUUAGAUUCCUCUCUUGAGGAUUUUAUAAAAAUGGCUUACUUUAUUCUUAUUUUUUGCAAAUUCAAGCCACUUCUACUCUUUUUUUUUUUAUGAGAGUCCACUUUUUUUUUUUUUUUGCUGAAAAAGAAGGGGAAGAGGGGAGCCCACCCCCGCGUAGUAGCCCCUAUUGGGCCCCCACCCCAUCAGAAGAAUGUUCGAUGCGGGCAGAAAUGACCGUGUGUUGGGCACCCCGGUCGGUUUUACUCAUACCCUCCCCACCCGUGGAUCGGCUCGGUUACCCGACCCGACCCGACCCGACCCUCCGUGUGAGUACGUCACAUUUGGCACCACCUAGGCUACCAGCCGACCAGUAGCGCUUCCAGACCCCGUGUCCAGGCGUGGGGCAUCCGGUCCCCAAAUUUAAUCGACGCCCGCACGUUUCGAACCUGUAACCACUUGGUUGGAAGCAAACGUCCCGUUUCAACUAGGCUACCACCUUGGUGAAGUAUGAGAGUCCACUUGAAAAAUUGCUAUUUGGAAUGAUUGUUUAUUAAUAAAGAUCGAAAAAUAUAUAAGCUCCAAGCAUAUAUAUAUUUUUUUAGAUCUACUCGAGUCUAGCUUAAGAACAAGCCCAUUCAAUUAAAAACAAGUCAAACUCAAUGUGUUUUUUAACAUUUUGAUUUUCUAAAGCCUCUAGCUUAAACAAGUCAGAUGAUUAAAUUAAUUAAAAAUUCUUUUUGAGGAAGGAAAAUAAUUAGAAAUCUAAUUGAUAACUAAAUUCAAGAUAUUUUUUCAAGGAUAGAAGCUAAUAUCAGAAUAUUAAUGUCUAAGCCAUUGCGCGGAGAAUUGUACCUGCCGGGUUGACUGAGGUGAUUCACGCCCCUGGGGUCUCCAAGGGAGCAGAGAAAUUACUCAUUGGAAUGGUAAGAACAGAAAAGGAGAUUUUUUUUUUAACAAUUCCCUUUAGAUUUAUAGAUAGAUUUGGGAGAGAGAAGACGAGUUGCCUUUGAUGUAAUUUUUCUUCAAGGCAGUGUAGCAACAUCCUGUCCUGCUUGCAAGGGUCGUGCCUAAACCACAACCGCAGUUGAAAGCAACACGUCGUUCAGGCAAUUGGUAUUUGCCAAUAAGCACGCAAAUUUUUACAUAUGCAUGGAGGAAUUUGAAAUAUUUCAAUUACACUUCAACAAAAUACAUCUGUAGCUUUAAAAUAGCAAGCUGACAUUUGUAAACCUGAUUAUUUACGGUUUCUUUGUCUUGCUUUGGGAACUCAGUUGUCUUCCUAACGACACAAGUCCCAUUGAAGCAACCACAGAUAAGACUGCAGAUGAGUAACCGAGUACAAGAAGAGCUCCCAUUAGUGACUGCAUUCAAAACAUGCACCAAAGUAAUUAAACAGCAGUUAUAAUUCUCCUGUGGGGAAAAAAAAA